rnacentral:rRNA from 1 species
GAUGAACGCUGGCGGCGUGCCUAAUACAUGCAAGUCGAGCGAACGGACGAGAAGCUUGCUUCUCUGAUGUUAGCGGCGGACGGGUGAGUAACACGUGGAUAACCUACCUAUAAGACUGGGAUAACUUCGGGAAACCGGAGCUAAUACCGGAUGAUAUUUUGAACCGCAUGGUUCAAAAGUGAAAGACGGUCUUGCUGUCACUUAUAGAUGGAUCCGCGCUGCAUUAGCUAGUUGGUAAGGUAACGGCUUACCAAGGCAACGAUGCAUAGCCGACCUGAGAGGGUGAUCGGCCACACUGGAACUGAGACACGGUCCAGACUCCUACGGGAGGCAGCAGUAGGGAAUCUUCCGCAAUGGGCGAAAGCCUGACAGAGCAACGCCGCGUGAGUGAUGAAGGUCUUCGGAUCGUAAAACUCUGUUAUUAGGGAAGAACAUAUGUGUAAGUAACUGUGAACAUCUUGACGGUACCUAAUCAGAAAGCCACGGCUAACUACGUG